UCCCUGGUGGUCCAGGGGUUAGGACACCUUACUCUCAUUGUGAAAGGCCUAGGUUCAAUCCCUGGUUGGGGAA
rnacentral:tRNA from 1 species